rnacentral:rRNA from 1 species
UGGGGAAUAUUGCACAAUGGGGGAAACCCUGAUGCAGCGACGCCGCGUGAAGGAAGAAGUAUUUCGGUAUGUAAACUUCUAUCAGCAGGGAAGAAAAUGACGGUACCUGACUAAGAAGCCCCGGCUAACUACGUGCCAGCAGCCGCGGUAAUACGUAGGGGGCAAGCGUUAUCCGGAAUUAUUGGGCGUAAAGAGUGCGUAGGCGGUUUCUUAAGCGUGGGGUGAAAGGCUAUGGCUUAACCAUAGUUAGCCCCCGCGAACUGGGAGACUUGAGUGCAGGAGAGGAAAGCGGAAUUCCUAGUGUAGCGGUGAAAUGCGUAGAUAUUAGGAGGAACACCAGUGGCGAAGGCGGCUUUCUGGACUGUAACUGACGCUGAGGCACGAAAGCGUGGGGAGCAAACAGGAUUAGAUACCCUGGUAGU